AUUGAACGCUGGCGGCAGGCCUAACACAUGCAAGUCGAGCGGAUGAACGGUGCUUGCUUCUGGUUUCAGCGGCGGACUGGUGAGUAAUGCCUAGGAAUCUGCCUGGCUGUGGGUUCUAACGUCCUGAAGCGGGCGCUCAUACCGCAUACGUCCUGAGGCAGAAAGUGUGGGAUCUUUGGACCUUUUGCUCUCGGGUGAGUCUAGGUCGGACUGGCUAGUUGGUGGGGUAAAGGCCUACCAAGGCGGCGAUCCGUAACUGGUCUGAGAGGAUGAUCGGCCACACUGGAAGUGAGACACGGUCCAGAGUCCUACGGGAGGCAGCAGUGGGGAAUAUUGGACAAUGGGGGGAAGCCUGAUCCAGCCAUGCCGCGUGUGUGAAGAAGGCCUUCGGAUUGUAAAGCCCUUUUAGUGGGUAGGAACGGCAGUAGGUUAAUACCUUGCUGUUUUGACGGUACCAACAGAAUAAGCACCGGCUAACUUCGUG
rnacentral:rRNA from 1 species